rnacentral:RNase_P_RNA from 1 species
UGGGUUGACUGGUUGAUUGCUUUUAAUUAAGAGGAAAGUCCGAACUCCGCAGGAAAAAGUGCCUCCUAACAGGAGGAUUUCGUAAGAAAAUGGAAAGUGCCACAGAAAAAAUACCGCCAUUUAUUUUUGGUAAGGGUGAAAAAGUAGUGUAAGAGACUACUAAUGUUUUUUGUAAAUGAAACAUUCGGUAAACCCCACUUGGAGCAAGAUUAAGUAGCCUUGUGUUUUCCGCACAUAAAGGCGGGUAAAUCGCAUUAGUGUAUUAGUAAUAAUAUAUAAAGAUGAAUAGUCAACAAUACUUUAAGUAUUACAGAAUUCGGCUUAUAGGUCAACCCAAAAU